rnacentral:rRNA from 1 species
UACGGAGGGUGCGAGCGUUGUCCGGAAUCAUUGGGCGUAAAGGGCGCGUAGGUGGCCCGGUCAGUCUUUGGUGAAAGCGCGGGGCUCAACCCUGCGUCGGCCAGGGAUACUGCCGCGGCUGGAGCACUGUAGAGGCAGGCGGAAUUCCGGGUGUAGCGGUGGAAUGCGCAGAUACUCAGGAGGAACACCUAUUGCGAAGGCAGCUCGCUGGGACGUAACUGACGCUGAGACGCGAAAGCGUGGGGAGCAAACAGG